UACGGAGGGUGCAAGCGUUAAUCGGAAUUACUGGGCGUAAAGCGCACGCAGGCGGUCUGUCAAGUCGGAUGUGAAAUCCCCGGGCUCAACCUGGGAACUGCAUCCGAAACUGGCAGGCUAGAGUCUUGUAGAGGGGGGUAGAAUUCCAGGUGUAGCGGUGAAAUGCGUAGAGAUCUGGAGGAAUACCGGUUGCGAAGGCGGCCCCCUGGACAAAGACUGACGCUCAGGUACGAAAGCGUGGGGAGCAAACAGGAUUAGAUACCCUGGUAGUCCACGCCGUAAACGAUGUCGACUUGGAGGUGGUGCCCUUGAGGCGUGGGUGCCGGAGCUAACGCGUUAAGUCGACCGCCUGGGGAGUACGGCCGCAAGGUUAAA
rnacentral:rRNA from 1 species